AUUGAUAAUAUGAUUAUAUGAAAAUAGGGCAGUUGUUUAAUGCCCCGAUGGGAAGGCGGUGAAAAUCCGCCACAGUCCCGCUACUGUAAUCGCUUAAUUGCCGCAGAGGCCACAUUCGGCAGAUGUCGGAGGGAAGGCGCGGCGCCCGAGAUGGGGCGAAAGUCAGGAUACCAUCGCAAAUCUAAAUUCCUGU
rfam:Candidate division Zixibacteria bacterium RBG_16_53_22 RBG_16_scaffold_2530, whole genome shotgun sequence.